CGGGUGAGUAAUGCAUGACCAACCUGCCCCAUGCUCCAGAAUAGCUCUUGGAAACGGGUGGUAAUGCUGGAUGCUCCAACUUGACGCAUGUCUUGUUGGGAAAGUGUUUAGUGGCAUGGGAUGGGGUCGCGUCCUAUCAGCUUGUAGGCGGGGUAAUGGCCCACCUAGGCUUCGACGGGUAGCCGGCCUGAGAGGGCGGACGGCCACAUUGGGACUGAGAUACGGCCCAGACUCCUACGGGAGGCAGCAGUU
rnacentral:rRNA from 1 species